CUACGGGGGGCUCCAGGUGCGAAACCUUUACACUGUACGAAAGUACGAUAAGGGAAUCCCAAGUGCUCAUGCUUUGCAUGGGCUUUUGCCAAGAGUAAAUAUCUUGGCGAAUAAGUGGUGGGCAAGACGGGUGCCAGCCGCCGCGGUAACACCCGCGCCACAAGUGGGGGCCUCGUUUAUUGGGCCUAAAGCGUCCGUAGCUGGUUUGGUAAAUCUUCUGUGAAAUCGUUGGGCUUAACUUAACGGCGUGCAGGAGACACUACCAGACUUGGAACCGGGAGGAGUUAGGAGUAUUCUGGGGGGAGCGGCAAAAUGCUAUAAUCCUCGGAAGACUACCUGUGGCGAAGGCGCCUAACCAGAACGGAUUCGACAGUGAGGGACGAAAGCUAGGGGAGCGAACCGGAUUAGAUACCCUUGUAGUC
rnacentral:rRNA from 1 species